AACGAACGCUGGCGGCAUGCCUAACACAUGCAAGUCGAACGGGUACCUUCGGGUGCUAGUGGCGCACGGGUGCGUAACGCGUGGGAAUCUGCCCUUGGGUUCGGAAUAACUCAGCGAAAGCUGUGCUAAUACCGGAUGAUGUCGAAAGACCAAAGAUUUAUCGCCCGAGGAUGAGCCCGCGUUGGAUUAGCUAGUUGGUGGGGUAAAGGCCUACCAAGGCGACGAUCCAUAGCUGGUCUGAGAGGAUGAUCAGCCACACUGGGACUGAGACACGGCCCAGACUCCUACGGGAGGCAGCAGUGGGGAAUAUUGGACAAUGGGCGAAAGCCUGAUCCAGCAAUGCCGCGUGAGUGAUGAAGGCCUUAGGGUUGUAAAGCUCUUUUACCCGGGAUGAUAAUGACAGUACCGGGAGAAUAAGCUCCGGCUAACUCCGU
rnacentral:rRNA from 1 species